rnacentral:tRNA from 1 species
CGCGGGCAUCGUAUAAUGGCUAUUACCUCAGCCUUCCAAGCUGAUGAUGCGGGUUCGAUUCCCGCUGCCCGCUCC